UGGCGAUCCGUGCCAGCGCUUUGCCUAGCUCCUCCGUCUGGUCCCUGAGCAUUUGUUUGUUGCUCCCGUCAAGGACGAAGGAAAUGACAGACAGCCAUCUCUCCACGAUGGGGAAUAUGCCAACUCUCAGCACCUGGCCUCCCUGGCCAGAAACAUCUGUCCCCUCCUGGACCACACCCAUUCCCCUCUCCAACUACUUAUCCAUGACCUCCACCUGACAGAGCACUACACAGGUGGAGACAACGGAGCGUUCCAGAGCUGUAAGAUGUCGGCCAGGGAGAAAGCAGACACAGUCCGCCAUUACAUCGCCAGCCUGGCCUUGAUGGACGUCAUCCUUAACAGACCCGCUACCUUGGACAGGCUGGAGAAUCAAACGGGGGACUUUGACCUGAAGAGGUUGGCUUUUAGCCAAUGGGAUGAGUAGACAGUGUGAGGUAGCCUCUUACGACGAGCUAGCAAGCUCAGGAUGGCUGUACGAGACUAAGUGUGAGGUAGCCUCUUACGACGAGCUAGCAAGCUCAGGAUGGCUGUACGAGACUAAGUGUGAGGUAGC